rnacentral:rRNA from 1 species
GCCUCAGUAACGGCGAGUGAAGCGGCAAGAGCCCAAAAUGUAAAUCUUCACACUGUGUGUGACGAAUUGUAAUCUAAAGAUGGUUCGCUCACCGGGUGGUGGCGCAGAAGUGCCCUAGAACGGGCCGCCAGAGAGGGUGACAGCCCCGUAUGUGGUGCCACUACCUAACGAGCGGGUUAUCGAAGAGUCGGGUUGUUUUGUAUUGCAGCCCUAAGUGGGAGAUAAACUUCUUCUAAGGCUAAAUAUAUAUGGGAAACCGAUAGCGAACAAGUACUGUGAAGGAAAGAUGAAAAGAACUUUGAAAAGAGAGUCAAAAGACUUGAAAUCGUUGAGAAGGAAGCGGUAGGAAUUUAUUCUUCAGCGGAGGACGGUGGCGGCUGCCAAACUAUUGCUGGUUGCGAGCACUGCAAAGGCUCCGGCUGGUACAUGGGGAAGCGGCCGUUUUGCCCUCCGUUGUGAGGCAAGAUGGGGUCGUGCUCCCGCAGAGGCUUCCUAGACCUGGCCUGAUUCGUUAGGCAGUCUGGGUGUGCUGGCGGGCGUGCGGCCUGAGGGUGCUUCGUGCGAUCU